AUUCUCUCUUGUCUGUCGACAUGUAGGACAUGCCUCUUGCCUUCUGCCCUGAUUGUGAGGCUUCCCCAACCACGUGAAACAGGCACAAAGUAAGAAGAUGCUGGGAGACAGAAGCAUUUCGCUCUGGAAGCAGUUUUGGGUUCACACAAGGAAGAAAAAAAUUUAGAAGAUACACUCCCUACUCUAAGGUAGGGAUCCAGAUGUCAUUGGAGAAGGAGUGACUGUAGCCUACUGGAUAGUUGAGUAUUACAUGGAGGCAUCACAGGCUGAGGCUGGUAAGCAGGAGACUGCCCAUUGGAGUGCUGACAAAACUUUCCAGGAGGCUGCCUUCUAGGGUACUGAAAGUCACUAGCAAGCUGCCACUAGGACAACUCUGAGACAGCUGGGAAGCCAGCUGUGGUGCUGGUGGAGCUUGCUGGAAAUCCUACUGUGGAAUUUGCACUGAACUUCCUGGAAAACUGGCUGUGGUAUGUGUGGAAUUUGUUGAGAAGGCUACCUGCUGAAAUUAGACUGACCUCCCUAAAAAGCCCUCUAGGAUGCUGACAGAUCCAUGGGGUUUCAGGGCAACUCACGGAGAGGUAAAUAUCACCAGGUGCCCUGCAUAGAGAUCAGCACUGCAGCAGUAACAAAAGAGGAAUACAGUGAAACCAGAAAGAGAAGCCCCUUCCUCUGUAGUGUCCCUCCAGCGUCCUCUACCAACAAUUAUAGUUUAACAUCACACCAACUGGCAAAAGACCUAUGUUUACAGGAUGUGGAUCCAGUAUCAAAAAGCAGGCAAUAAAGGAUGGAUUUGUUGCUGAGAGGCAAUUUGUUGAUAACUGACAUAAACAACACUAAUAGCUUUCAUUGGUGGAAAUCUAGGUUGGUUGCAAUGAAUUAUACAAAUUAAAAGAAGUCUGCAGUCUUCCACGAUAGUUGAACUAAUUUACACUCCCACCAACGCGUAAAACCAUUUCUUUUUCUCCAUAACCUUACCAGCAUCUGUUAUGUUUUGACUUUUUAAUAAUAGCCAUUCUGACUGGUGUGAGAUGGUAUCUCAUUUGGUUUUGAUUUGCAUUUGUCUAAUGACCAGUGAUCUUGAGCUUUUUUAUCAUACGGUAGUUGGCUGCAUUUAUGUCUUCUUUUAAGAAGUGUCUUGAUCACGUCCUUUGCCCACUUUUUAAUGGAGUUGUUGGUUUUUGUUUUUGUUUUGUAAGUUUAAGUUGCUUACAGAUCCUGGAUAUUAGACCUUCAUCAGAUGCAUAGUUUGCAAAAAUUUUCUCCCAUUUUGUAGGUUGUCUGUAUACUCUAUUGAUAGUUUCAUUUGCUGUGUAGAAGCUCCCUAAUUAGAUCCCAUUUGUCAGUUUUGCUUUGUUGUAAUUGCUUUUGGCAUCUUUGUCAUGAAAUCAUUGCCUGUGUGUAUGUCCUGAAUAGUAUUGCCUACAAUAAAGUAUAACAGAUAAAAUGCAGGGGUAUCACUGACCUAACAACUCACAUACUCUAUGUUAUCUAUGGUUACCUAACAAUUCACCCCAAAAUUUAGGAGCUUAGAACAACACACAUUUAUUCUCUUGCA